rnacentral:tRNA from 1 species
GGGUCGUUAGCUCAGUUGGUAGAGCAGUUGACUUUUAAUCUAUUGGUCGCAGGUUCGAAUCCUGCACGACCCACCA